rnacentral:misc_RNA from 1 species
UCCGAGUUGUCCCCGGCAGUCUCCUAUGAGUCCCCACCAUUACGUGCUGGCAACAUAGAACAAGGGUUGCGCUCGUUGCGGGACUUAACCCAACAUCUCACGACACGAGCUGACGACAGCCAUGCACCACCUGUGCACAGGCCCCGAAGGGCUGCCGUAUUUCUACGACAUUCCUGUGCAUGUCAAGCCCAGGUAAGGUUCUUCGCGUCGCGUCGAAUUAAACCACAUGCUCCGCUGCUUGUGCGGACCCCCGCCAAUUCCUUUGAGUUUCAACCUUGCGGUCGUACUUCCCAGGUGGGAUACUUAAUGCUUUCGCUCAGACACACAUAGUCAUAUCACGUAUGUCGAGUAUCCAUCGUUUAGGGCGUGGACUAC